rnacentral:misc_RNA from 1 species
UUGAUUCAUUUCUCGUGCGCCGGGGCGCCGAUGAGCUCAGAGGUGGAAUCCGCCGGGGCGGUUGCAAAGAGUUUCGGGGGGUCCUCCGGCGGGCGCCUUGGGUCCGGGGCUGCGACGCGCCCGGGGCGAUCCCGCCGAGGCAACAUGGGGUAUCGUUCACACUGGGGGUUUGGGAGUUGUAAACUCGGUAAUGAUCCCUCCGCUGGUUCACCAACGGAGA